UACGAAGGGGGCUAGCGUUGCUCGGAAUCACUGGGCGUAAAGCGCACGUAGGCGGCUUCUUAAGUCAGGGGUGAAAUCCUGGAGCUCAACUCCAGAACUGCCUUUGAUACUGAGAAGCUUGAGUUCGGGAGAGGUGAGUGGAACUGCGGGUGUAGAGGUGAAAUUCGUAGAUAUUCGCAAGAACACCAGUGGCGAAGGCGGCUCACUGGCCCGAUACUGACGCUGAGGUGCGAAAGCGUGGGGAGCAAACAGG
rnacentral:rRNA from 1 species